UUUAUUUCCUUAUUUGAAAUUAGUACAAUAUCUUUUGAAUGUACUACAUUAACCAUAACCUAUGAACGUAGGUUAGUAGGUAUUAAUAUUGUAACAAAAAUAAAUCAUUGGUCACAUUUAAAAAUACGUAUGAAAUUAAAAAGAAUAAUUUAAUGUAAUAUUCUUACAAAAUUUAACAAAUAUAUGUUUUUUUAAACAACCUUGAUUUGAUAUCAGCAGUACCUUCUAUGAGAACCGCGGACUCGAACGAUGAAGCGUUCGUGGCGCUGAUUGGCCGAGAGAUAUCCUUUCGAUUCUCCUCGUUUCCGGUUCGGUGUAUUCGGAAGUGAUGUUCCCGCGUCCCUCUUAGUCGUUUUCCGUGUAUAUUUUACUUUUGGAGGUGUAAUAAGUGGCUCUUUGCUAAAAAUCAAUCAAUAAAGUCUCGGUAAUAAAUCGUGUGAUAUUAGUAACGCGUUUAUAGUUCUCGAUUAACUGAAAACAGACGAAACCGUUUUCAACGUCCUGAAGGCUCCCACGCGCCAUGUUCUGACCGCGCAGAAAAGUAAAAGUGAAUUAGAAGAUUUGAAAUCGUUCUCACAUUCAACAUUAUCAACAAUCUCUACGUACCUUGUCCUGUUGCGUCCAAACAUCGUUUCUCAUCGUAAUUCGAUCUCUUCCUUCUCUUCGGAUGUUGGCAUGAGAACCAACAAACUCCUCUUUGCGCUUAGCUUGGGGUCAGAUACGUCCCCGUCGU